UUCAGAACGUCGUGAGACAGUUCGGUCCCUAUCCGUCGCGGGCGUAGGAAAUUUGAGAGGAGCUGUCCUNAGUACGAGAGGNCCGGGAUGGACAUACCGCUGGUGUACCAGUUGUUCNNCCNNGAGCAUCGCUGGGUAGCUAUGUAUGGAUGAGAUAAACGCUGAAAGCAUCAAAGUGUGAAACUCGCCUCGAGAUGAGAUUUCCCAUNUAAUCAAUAGAGUAAGACCCCUCAGAGAUGAUGAGGUAGAUAGGCU
rnacentral:rRNA from 1 species